GGCAGCAUUCAUAGAAGAUGCUUAGACUCUGUAUCCAGUUUGACAACUGCAAAUGUUUAUUUUUAUUAGUCAUGAAGUCAUCAUGGUGAUUGCUUAGCAUCUUGUAAGUCCAUAUGGGCUGGGCACAGGAGAGGUACAAGACACAUUCAUAAUCAAUCAAUCAAGCAGCAACACAAUAGUAAUGCUGUCAGUGAUGAUCACACAGGCGUGCGAGCUGCAGCAGCUCAGCAGGGUAGCUAUCAUACACAGGUUGAGGUAGAUGUGUGGAAAAGGCUUAAGCUUGGUGAUUCACCUGUAGACACCAGGCCAGAGCUUUAGCAGGUGCUGUUUCUGUAUGGUCCUAGGGCCUGCAACUUCCCCUGGGUUUUAUCAUUAUUAUUAUUAUUUUUAUUAUUAUUAUUAUUUUUUUUGAUACACCAGUAGUUUUCAGACAAGGGACAUGUCCCCUGUGGCCACCUCAUAAAUUACACCCCCAGGCGAGUGUGAUUUCUGACACAGAUAACUUAAGGCUGGAACUGUCACAACUCCCGUGGCUGUUAAUUUCAUAAGCUUCUGACCAGAAGAUAGAUCCUCAUCAUGUUAGUGAGGGAAAGCAGUUUGUUCAUUACAGGUACAUUUAAAAAGCAGGGCAGUUCAAGGUUUCUUUAAAUCCUCAAAGCAUCUUUGAUUCAAGUUAAACAGAGAUGGUUGUGUUUAAACAGAGAUAAAAGAGAGCAGCAGAGGAAGGGUUUCCACAGGUCAGGAUUAUGUAACAAGUCCCAGUACAGGCUGUUCUCUGCUCUCUGGAUGUUUGGAGAGAUCAGUGUCACAGCUGGUCAGCAUAUGAAGUUGUAAACAUACUUCGUAUGAUCGUAGAUGGUUUAAUCAGUAGUAUUCUACAGAUCAGAAAUGCAGUGGCCUACUGUAAUAAUUACAACAUACAGUCAUGUGAAAAAGAAAGCUCACCCUCUUUGAUUUCUAUGGUUUUACAUAUCAGGCCAUAAUAAAACAAAUCAUCUGGCUCUUAGCAGGUCUUAAAAUUAGGUAAAUACAACCCCACAACAACACAUUACAUAUUAAACUGUGUCAUUAUUUAUUUGACAAAAACAAGGCCAAAAUACAGAGGCAUUGUGUGAAAAAACUAAGUACCCCCUUACUGUUUCCACAGGAAUUCAGAUAGUAAGUAGCAGCCAGGUGCUGCUAAUCAAAUGCCCUUAUUGACCACCAGCAAGUGUGAGCACCUCUAUAAAAGCUAAGUUUUGGCGCACUCAGGUGUGAGUAACACAGUGCCAAGGAGGAAAGACAUCAGUAGUGAACUUAGAGAAGCAAUUGUUGCUGUCCAUCAAUCAGGGAAGGGUUGUAAGACCAUUUCCAAACAAUCUGAAUUCCAACAUUCUAUAGUGAGAAAGAUUAUUAUCAAGAGGAAAACAUUCGAGACAGUUGGCAAUCUUCCCAGGGGUGGACAUCCCAGCAAAUUCACCCCAAGGUCAGACCAUGCAAUACUCAGUGAAACUGCAAAAACUCUAGACCCACAUCUCAGACUCUACAGGCCUCAGUUAGCAUGUUAAAUGUUAAUGUUAAUGCCAGUACAAUUAGAAGAACACUGAACAAGUAUGGUUUGUUUGGAAGGGUUGCCAGGAGAAAGACUCUUCUCUCUAAAAAGAACAUGGCAGCACAGCUUAGGUUUGCAAAGUUGCAUCUGAACAAACCACAAGACUUCAGAAACAAUGGCCUUUGUACAGAUGAGACCAAAGUACAGAUGUUUGACCAUAAUGCACAUGUUUAGUAAAAACCAAACACGACAUAUCAGCACUAACACGUCAUACCAACUGUCAAGCACGGUGGUGGAGGGCUGAUGAUUUGGGCUUGUUUUGCAGCCACAAAAGAUGCGACCACAAACUCCUCAGUAUGCCAAAAUAUUCUAGAAUCAAAUAUGAGGUCAUCUGUCUGAUGAUCAAAGCUUGGCCUAAAUUGGUUCAUGCAUCAGGAAAAUUAUCCCAAGCACCCCAGCAAAUCUACAACAGAAUGGCUGAAAAAGAUGGCCCAGUCAAAGUCCAGACCUCAACCUGACUGAAAUGCUGUGGAGUGACCUUAAGAGAGUCAUUUGCACAAACAAAUGACUGAAAACCUCAAUGAACUGAGGCAACGUUGUAAAGAAGAGUGGGCCAAGAUUCCUCCAGAACGAUGUGAGAGACUGAUAAAGUCAAACAGAAAACCAUUACUUCAAGUUAUUGCAGCUAGAGGUGGUUCUACAAGCUACUGAAUCAUGGAGUGUACUUAGUGUUUCAUACAUGGCUUCUCCAUUUUGGCUUCAUUUUUGUUAGAUAAAUAAUGACACAGUGGAAUCUGGUGUAUGUUGUUUUACACCUGAGGUUGGAUUUAAAUAAUUUUAGAACUUGAAUUUUUGUCCUGAUUAAUAAAACCAUAGAAUUCAAAGAGGGUGUACUUUCUUUUUCACAUGACUCUGUAUACAAAAACAUAUGAAGUAAAAUGUUGUGAAUGAAUGAAUGAAAAUACACAGGAAAAUAUGAAUGAAUGUAGCCUGAUAAUCAGACAGAAUCUCGAUUUUGUUUUGACUCAUUUAUUCAGUUUGAUGGUAAGUUAUUUAGCCCUAAUACCCAUCAAAUCAUCAGCAUGAUUUUAAGUUGGCAAGAGUGAAUGCUAGAAACAGUACACAUUUUACACAGUGAUUGAAGAAAUGUGUUUAAGAGUUGUUAUUGUUAGAACAACCUGUGCAGUCAAUCCCAUUUAGCUAUUUUAAUAAAUAUAGAUAUGCAGCUUUACAGCUUUACAAUGCUGCAAAGUACAGUAGUAUGGUACAGUGUAACAAAAUAAUCUAAGCUCAGAGGUCCACUUAUUAGUUUUUGAGAACUUUUAAUUUCAUCUAGCAAUCAUCUUCAACAAAUUAUCAGCAGUCAACAUGAAGGUGCAAUUUUGGAUUUAAAGAAAGCAAGCUUUUGUGAGUGUCAACAGCUUCUUUUCGCUGGCUCUGUUGAACAUGUGACAUGCAGGGCCAUUUUCAGUCUGAAUGUCUGCUAACUGAGAGCUAUCCUUACUGCAUGUAGUCAUGACUACAUGCAGUAAGGAUAGAUAUAGUAGAUAUCUUUGAGUUAAAUGUUGGAAUAGAUGGACAACAAUCCUGUUUCCAAUGGAAGUAGUUGUAGUGUUGCGCUAUUGCUUCACUCAGUAAGGUUGAGUUAGGCUGGGUCUGAGGGAGGGGUCACAGUGGCAGACAGCCAGGCUCUUCACAGGAAAAUGAGGCAGGCAGGGAGUGGUUCCUCUGUCCUUAUCUCCUUUCCUGUCCUCCACUCUGAUCAUCACACUGUUACACCCUUCGCAGCUCACACUGACUGGCGAUCAGAUUAGCAAUUCACACAGUCAUCAAUCAGCUUGAACAGAUGCUACAAACCUUACUGGUGACUGAGAUACACAAGCACAUAUGUUUGUGAAGUAGUAACUAUAAGAUGGUGUUGUUUUUAUUUUUCAUUUCAUCUUCCCAGGGCAGUCUGGUCCCAUGAUUUUACAUGAUUUUUGAAAUUUGUGUCAAAGGCAAGAGGCCCAGAGUGAUAAGUCAAGUCAAUUUUAUUCAUAUAGUUGUACUCAUAUAGUGCAGAAUCACACCAAAAAUUCCAGGAGAAGGAGAAUGUAAAUGUAACUGAUGUAGAGUGAUAAUAAUAAUAGUAGCAGACAGACUACUCCAGUAACCUCAACUGUUCAGAGCCAUGCAGGUCAUACCUCUACACCAAUGUCCCCCCUAAUUUUUCAUGUGUCUGAGCAUACACACAAACUCCCUGAGAAUUCCUUGGACCACUGUGAGCAACAUCAGACGUGCACACUGUUGCACACUGUAUUUUAUGCGCUACAUAGUUUUGCUGUGCACCGAGAAAGUGGGAGCAGUAAGCGAUUGUGCAGGCGCACAGCUUGGAGGGAACAUUGCUCUACACUACUACCUCCUCUGUAAUGGAAAAACCCUAUAUGGCCUAUAUGAUAAAACUCAAUUCUGCCUUUUCUCUAGACUACGUCUGAGAACAUUCACCCAGGUCACUGUAUUUCUAAACACUAUACAAAGGACUGGACUUGCUUGAGGUUCUUGAAUGUGUUUCACCUCUCAUCUGAAAGGCAUCUGUAAUUCUAAAAACUGGUGAAGAGUCCAGGUAUUGAAUUUAUUUAUUUACUGCCAUAUCUAGGAUGACGCUGAAAAAUGCCAGGUCACGUUCUUCCAGGUAUUUUUGCCUCUCUCUCCAUCCAGUCGAGGCAGAUGGCCACCCAUCGUCAAAUAUAAUAUAAAGAGUAUGGUCUAGACCUGCUCUUUAUGAAAAGUGCUGACAUAACUUCUGUUGUGAUUCAGUGCUAUUUAAAUAAAACUGGCUUGACCUAUG